GUCCACGCCGUAAACGAUGUUCACUAGGUGUUGGGGUAUUGACCCCUCAGUGCCGGAGCUAACGCAUUAAGUGAACCGCCUGGGGAGUACGGUCGCAAGACUAAAACUCAAAGGAAUUGACGGGGCCCGCACAAGCGGUGGAGCAUGUGGUUUAAUUCGAUGCAACGCGAAGAACCUUACCUGGGCUUGACAUCCACGGAACCUACUGGAAACAGCGGGGUGCCCCUUCGGGGAACCGUGAGACAGGUGCUGCAUGGCUGUCGU
rnacentral:rRNA from 1 species